UACAGAGGGGGCAAGCGUUGUUCGGAAUUACUGGGCGUAAAGGGCGCGUAGGCGGCCCGCUAAGUCGAACGUGAAAUCCCCGAGCUCAACUCGGGAACUGCGUCCGAUACUGGCGGGCUUGAAUCCGGGAGAGGGACGCGGAAUUCCAGGUGUAGCGGUGAAAUGCGUAGAUAUCUGGAGGAACACCGGUGGCGAAGGCGGCAUCCUGGACCGGCAUUGACGCUGAGGCGCGAAAGCUAGGGGAGCAAACGGG
rnacentral:rRNA from 1 species